GUCGGGUUCUGUCUUGAAUUAAAUUGUGUUAUUGCAGAUACGUACAGUUUGAACGGUUAAAUGUUCAUAGUUUCUUUAUAACAUAGGAAAAUAUAUUAAAACAGUCAGUCGCUGAAUGAGAAUACAUAAUUUGUAAUGUUUUUGAAAGUAACUCACGCUGUGGUUAGCCACGAAUUGUUCUUUUGGACAACGUGUCCGCUGAAUGUUCUUUGCAGUUGUGCACACGACUCGCUGAGCAGUUUUCUCAUUACAAGAAAGGGGAAAGUAACGCGGAUUCCUACACUGUCCUUUAUAAAACUCCUAAAACUGGCG
rnacentral:lncRNA from 1 species